rnacentral:rRNA from 1 species
AUUCGUAGAGAUCGGGAGGAAUACCAGUGGCGUAGGCGCCCUUCUGGACGGUAACUGACGCUGAGACGCGAAAGCGUGGGGAGCAAACAGGAUUAGAUACCCUGGUAGUCCACGCUGUAAACGAUGAUCACUAGGUGUAGCGGGUAAUCA